CAGAGGUUACUGCUAKCGCWGRWUCGACUAAGCCAUGCGAGUUGAAUGUUCUUCGUGAACAUGGCGGACUGCUCAGUAACACGUGGACAACCUACCCUUGGGUCCGGCAUAAUCCUGGGAAACUGGGAAUAAUUCCGGAUAGGUCACCGAUGCUGGAAUGCGCGGUGGCCGAAAGCUCCGGCGCCCGAGGAUGGGUCUGCGGCCUAUCAGGGUUGUAGUGGGUGUAACGUACCUACUAGCCUACGACGGGUACGGGUUGUGAGAGCAAGAGCCCGGAGAUGGAUUCUGAGACACGAAUCCAGGCCCUACGGGGUGCAGCAGGCGCGAAAACUUUACAAUGCGGGAAACCGUGAUAAGGGGAUCUCGAGUGCCAGCAUAUAAUGUUGGCUGUCCAGAUGCCUAAAAAGCAUCUGUUAGCAAGGGCCGGGCAAGACCGGUGCCAGCCGCCGCGGUAACACCGGCGGCCCGAGUGGUAACCGCUAUUAUUGGGUCUAAAGGGUCUGUAGCCGGCCAGGUAAGUCCCUUGGGAAAUCUGGCAGCUCAACUGUCAGGCUGCUAGGGGAUACUGUUUGGCUUGGGACCGGGAGAGGUGAGAGGUACCUUGGGGGUAGGGGUGAAAUCUUGUGAUCCUCGAGGGACCACCAGUGGCGAAGGCGUCUCACCAGAACGGGUCCGACGGUAAGGGACGAAAGCUAGGGGCACGAACCGGAUUAGAUACCCGGGUAGUCCUAGCCGUAAACGAUGCUCGCUAGGUGUCAGUCACGGUGCGACCGUGAUUGGUGCCGUAGGGAAGCCGUGAAGCGAGCCACCUGGGAAGUAUGGCCGCAAGGCUGAAACUUAAAGGAAUUGGCGGGGGAGCACUACAWCGGGYSGAGCCUGCGGUUUAUUG
rnacentral:rRNA from 1 species